rnacentral:rRNA from 1 species
AUUGAACGCUGGCGGCAGGCCUAACACAUGCAAGUCGAGCGAGCGGCGGACGGGUGAGUAAUGUCUGGGAAACUGCCUGAUGGAGGGGGAUAAAUACUGGAAACGGUAGCUAAUACCGCAUACCCUAAGAUAUGCCCAGCUGGGAUUAGCUAGUAGGUGGGGUAACGGCUCACCUAGGCGACGAUCUCUAGCUGGUCUGAGAGGAUGACAAGAAACACUGGAACUGAGACACGGUCCAGAUUCCUACGGGAGGCAGCAGUGGGGAAUAUUGCACAAGGGGCGCAAGCCUGAUGCAGCCAUGCCGCGGGUGUGAAGAAGGCCUUCGGGUUGUAAAGCACUUUCAGCGGGGAGGCGUUACCCGCAGAAGAAGCACCGGCUAACUCCGUGCCAGCAGCCGCGGUAAUAC